GCAAGUUUUAUGAUGUAUCCUCAAAGAUUCUGAUUAUUUGGAAAGAAUUCUGGAGAAGACAUGGACUGUUUUCAAUGGCUUCUCAGUUCCGAAAUCAGCUCCUCUCUUGAUGUAUUGUUAUGAUAUUUCGGCACUGCUGUAAACAUUUUGAGUAGCUCUAAUCGAACAGCUUAUCUCGCACUUUACACUGUUGGGCCUCUCCCAUGAUGACUUCAGAAGUAAUUAUGUUAGACAUGGCUGCCUCUUGAGAGUGCUAUUAUAGUAUUGUUUGGCCAAAAAGGAUUAGAGGUACAUUAUAUUUUUCAUAUGGUUUGUAUUGUAAACACAUAUCGUGAUACUACUAAUACAUAAAAUAUUUUACCCAACGAUUGACUA